rnacentral:rRNA from 1 species
AUUGAACGCUGGCGGCAUGCUUUACACAUGCAAGUCGAACGGUAACAGGGUGCUUGCACCGCUGACGAGUGGCGAACGGGUGAGUAAUGCGUCGGAACGUGCCGAGUAGUGGGGGAUAACCCGGCGAAAGUCGGAUUAAUACCGCAUACGAUCUAAGGAUGAAAGCAGGGGAUCGCAAGACCUUGCGCUAUACGAGCGGCCGAUGUCGGAUUAGCUAGUUGGUAGGGUAAAGGCCUACCAAGGCAACGAUCCGUAGCGGGUCUGAGAGGAUGAUCCGCCACACUGGGACUGAGACACGGCCCAGACUCCUACGGGAGGCAGCAGUGGGGAAUUUUGGACAAUGGGCGAAAGCCUGAUCCAGCCAUGCCGCGUGAGUGAAGAAGGCCUUCGGGUUGUAAAGCUCUUUUGUCCGGGAGCAAAUCCUGUUCACUAAUACUGAGCGGGGCUGAGAGUACCGGAAGAAUAAGCACCGGCUAACUACGUGCCAGCCGCCGCAGUAACAC